UGUUGUAUCUCAAAAUGAGAUACGUCAGUAUGACAAUCUCAGGUAUCGUAAGAUGCAAGAGUUCGAAUCUCUUAGCAACCA
rnacentral:tRNA from 1 species